UUGGUUAAGUUAGAAAGGGCGCACGGUGGAUGCCUUGGCACUAGGAGCCGAAGAAGGACGGGACUAACACCGAUAUGCUUUGGGGAGCUGUACGUAAGCGUUGAUCCAGAGAUUUCCGAAUGGGGGAACCCACUAUCUUUAGUCGGAUAGUAUCCUUACGUGAAUACAUAGCGUGAGGAAGGCAGACCCAGGGAACUGAAACAUCUAAGUACCUGGAGGAAGAGAAAGAAAAAUCGAUUUCCUGAGUAGCGGCGAGCGAAACGGAAAGAGCCCAAACCAAGAAGCUUGCUUCUUGGGGUUGUAGGACACUCUAUACGGAGUUACAAAAGAAAGUUAUAAAUGAAGCGGUCUGGAAAGGCCCGCCAAAGACGGUAACAGCCCGGUAGUUGAAAUGGCUUUCCCUCCAGAGUGGAUCCUGAGUACGGCGGAACACGUGAAAUUCCGUCGGAAUCCGGGAGGACCAUCUCCCAAGGCUAAAUACUCCCUAGUGACCGAUAGUGAACCAGUACCGUGAGGGAAAGGUGAAAAGCACCCCGGAAGGGGAGUGAAACAGUUCCUGAAACCGUGUGCCUACAAGUAGUUAGAGCCCGUUAAUGGGUGAUAGCGUGCCUUUUGUAGAAUGAACCGGCGAGUUACGAUUUGUUGCAAGGUUAAGCGGAAAAAGCGGAGCCGUAGCGAAAGCGAGUCUGAAUAGGGCGCAUAAGUAACAGGUCGUAGACCCGAAACCAGGUGAUCUACCCAUGUCCAGGAUGAAGGUAAGGUAAUACUUACUGGAGGUCCGAACCCACGCACGUUGAAAAGUGCGGGGAUGAGGUGUGGGUAGCGGAGAAAUUCCAAUCGAACUUGGAGAUAGCUGGUUCUCUCCGAAAUAGCUUUAGGGCUAGCCUCGAGGUAAAGAGUCAUGGAGGUAGAGCACUGUUUGGACUAGGGGCCCUUCUCGGGUUACCGAAUUCAGAUAAACUCCGAAUGCCAUGUACUUAUACUCGGGAGUCAGACUGCGAGUGAUAAGAUCCGUAGUCGAAAGGGAAACAGCCCAGACCACCAGUUAAGGUCCCCAAAUAUAUGUUAAGUGGAAAAGGAUGUGGGGUUGCUUAGACAACCAGGAUGUUGGCUUAGAAGCAGCCACCAUUGAAAGAGUGCGUAAUAGCUCACUGGUCGAGUGACCCCGCGCCGAAAAUGUACCGGGGCUAAACAUAUUACCGAAACUGUGGAUGAACCUCUUUAGAGGUUCGUGGUAGGAGAGCGUUCUAAGGGCGGUGAAGUCAGACCGGAAGGACUGGUGGAGCGCUUAGAAGUGAGAAUGCCGGUAUGAGUAGCGAAAGAAGGGUGAGAAUCCCUUCCACCGAAUAUCUAAGGUUUCCUGAGGAAGGCUCGUCCGCUCAGGGUUAGUCGGGACCUAAGCCGAGGCCGAUAGGCGUAGGCGAUGGACAACAGGUAGAGAUUCCUGUACCAGUGCUAAUUGUUUAACCGAUGGGGUGACACAGAAGGAUAGGGAAUCGCACGAAUGGAAAUGUGCGUCCAAGCAGUGAGUGUGAGAAGUAGGCAAAUCCGCUUCUCGCGAAGCAUGAGCUGUGAUGGGGAAGGAAAUUAAGUACGGAAGUUCCUGAUUUCACGCUGUCAAGAAAAGCCUCUAGGAAGAGUAGUACUGCCCGUACCGCAAACCGACACAGGUAGAUGAGGAGAGAAUCCUAAGGUGAGCGAGAGAACUCUCGUUAAGGAACUCGGCAA
rnacentral:rRNA from 1 species